GCCGUCGUGGCGGAAUGGCAGACGCGCUAGGUUCAGGUCCUAGUUCUUUCACCGGAGUGAGGGUUCAACUCCCUCCGACGGCACCA
rnacentral:tRNA from 2 species